rnacentral:tRNA from 1 species
ACCCGUGUGGCGUAAUUGGAUAGCGCGUCUGGCUUCUAACCAGAAGGUUGUGGGUUCGAGUCCCACCAUGGGUA